GAGCUGGCUGCGCAAAGGGAACUAGUGGUUUAGAUAGCAGUGCUCAUCAUGCUGAAAGCUGUGAUCCUGAUUGGAGGCCCUCAGAAGGGAACGCGCUUCAGGCCUUUGUCUUUUGAGGUCCCCAAGCCAUUGUUUCCUGUAGCUGGGUCCCUAUGAUCCAGCACCAUAUCGAGGCCUGUGCCCAGGUGCCUAGAAUGCAGGAGAUUCUGCUCAUUGGCUUCUACCAACCUGAUGAGGCCCUCUCGCAGUUCUUGGAAGCCGCACAACAGGAGUUCAACCUUCCAGUCAGGUACUUGCAGGAGUUUGCCCCCCUGGGCACAGGUGGUGGUCUCUACCAUUUUCGGGACCAGAUCCUGGCUGGGGGUCCUGAGGCAUUCUUUGUGCUCAAUGCAGACGUCUGCUCUGACUUCCCCUUGAGUGCUAUGCUGGAUGCCCACAGACGCCAGCGACACCCUUUUCUACUCCUUGGCACCACAGCUAACAGAACACAGUCCCUCAACUACGGCUGCAUCGUUGAGAAUCCACAGACCCAUGAGGUCCUGCACUAUGUGGAGAAAUCCAGCAUGUUCAUCAGUGACAUCAUCAACUGUGGCAUUUAUCUUUUUUCUCCGGAAGCCCUGACCCCUCUGUGGGAUGGCUUCCAGCGUAAUCAGCAGGAAAGGCAACUCUCAGCUCUCUAUGCCUCCUGCCUCUAUCUGGGCCAAUACCAGGUCACUCACCCAGAACGGCUAGCCAAGCACACACCAGGGGGUCCACAGAUCCGAGGAAACGUUUACAUCCACUCUACAGCUAAAGUGGCCCCAUCAGCCGUGCUAGGCCCUAAGUUCUCCAUAGGAAAGGGGGUGACUGUGGGCGAGGGUGUGCGGCUCCGAGAAAGCAUUGUCCUCCAUGGAGCCUCAUUGCAGGAGCACACGUGUUCUGCACAGUAUUGUGGGCUGGUGGAGCACUGUGGGGCGCUGGGCCCGUGUGGAAGGGACUCCCAACGACCCCAUCCCCAAUGACCCCCGAGCCUGCAUGGACAGUGUGAGCCUCUUCAAGGACGGGAAGCUACUGCCUGCUAUCACUAUCCCGGGCUGCCGUGUCCGGAUCCCUGCCAAGGUUCUCAUCCUGAACUCGAUUGUUCUGCCACACAAGGAGCUGAGCUGUAGCUUUACCAACCAGAUCAUGCUCUGAGGGGGGCUGUCAGGAGGUCCCCCAACUCCUGACUACUCCCCUUGAGAGGCUGCUGCCUGCUUGCCCAGCCUUGGAAAGGAACCAGGGAAACCAGGCAGGAUCUUCACAGGCUGGGAGUUAUGUGGGUGGCCGAGGACUCCUGGCCUCCCUCCCUACUCCCAAAUAAA